GUCAGUCCGAUCUCGCGAGAGAGGACGGAAGCCUGUGGGAGCCCGUGGCCUUUAAAGUGCCGUUCAGCCUUUUCCUCCAGGGGUGCUUUGUAAACACGGCUGUGCUCAGGGCUCGCGGGUGACCGAAAGGAUCAUGAACUAGUGACCUGGAAAGGGUACUAGAUGGAAACUUGAGAAAGGACUGCUUAUUGAUAACAGCUAAGGUAUUCCUGGAAGCAGAGUAAAUAAAGCUCAUGGCCCACCAGCUAGAAAGAUUUCCUGAAGAGGUAGUCUGAUUGGCUUAACUCGUAUUCUUGCCAUGAGAAAAAGAAUGUGAUAAGUUAUUCAACUUAUGAAAUUCAAGUUACAUGUGAAUUCUGCCAGGCAAUACAAGGACCUGUGGAAUAUGAGUGAUGACAAACCCUUUCUAUGUACUGCGCCUGGAUGUGGCCAGCGUUUUACCAACGAGGAUCAUUUGGCUGUCCAUAAACAUAAACAUGAGAUGACACUGAAAUUUGGUCCAGCACGUAAUGACAGUGUCAUUGUGGCUGAUCAGACCCCAACACCAACAAGAUUCUUGAAAAACUGUGAAGAAGUGGGUUUGUUUAAUGAGUUGGCGAGUCCAUUUGAGAAUGAAUUCAAGAAAGCUUCAGAAGAUGACAUUAAAAAAAUGCCUCUAGAUUUAUCCCCUCUUGCAACACCUAUCAUAAGAAGCAAAAUUGAGGAGCCUUCUGUUGUAGAAACAACUCACCAGGAUAGUCCUUUACCUCACCCAGAGUCUACUACCAGUGAUGAGAAGGAAGUACCAUUGGCACAAACUGCACAGCCCACAUCAGCUAUUGUUCGUCCAGCAUCAUUACAGGUUCCCAAUGUGCUGCUUACAAGUUCUGACUCAAGUGUAAUUAUUCAGCAGGCAGUACCUUCACCAACCUCAAGUACUGUAAUCACCCAGGCACCAUCCUCUAACAGGCCAAUUGUCCCUGUACCAGGCCCAUUUCCUCUUCUGUUACAUCUUCCUAAUGGACAAACCAUGCCUGUUGCUAUUCCUGCAUCAAUUACAAGUUCUAAUGUGCAUGUUCCAGCUGCAGUCCCACUCGUUCGACCAGUCACCAUGGUGCCUAGUGUUCCAGGAAUCCCAGGUCCUUCCUCUCCCCAACCAGUACAGUCAGAAGCAAAAAUGAGAUUAAAAGCUGCUUUGACCCAGCAACAUCCUCCAGUUACCAAUGGUGAUACUGUCAAAGGUCAUGGUAGCGGAUUGGUUAGGACUCAGUCAGAGGAAUCUCGACCGCAGUCAUUACAACAGCCAGCCACAUCCACUACAGAAACUCCGGCUUCUCCAGCUCACACAACUCCACAGACCCAAAGUACAAGUGGUCGUCGGAGAAGAGCAGCUAACGAAGAUCCUGAUGAAAAAAGGAGAAAGUUUUUAGAGCGAAAUAGAGCAGCAGCUUCAAGAUGCCGACAAAAAAGGAAAGUCUGGGUUCAGUCUUUAGAGAAGAAAGCUGAAGACUUGAGUUCAUUAAAUGGUCAGCUGCAGUGAAUAUAUUGCUCGUGAAAGGUGCCAGAUUGACAGCUUUGGAAACUGAAGGACUCUAAUUAUCCACAGACCAGAGUGAAGUCACCCUGCUGAGAAAUGAAGUGGCACAGCUGAAACAGCUUCUUCUGGCUCAUAAAGAUUGCCCUGUAACCGCCAUGCAGAAGAAAUCUGGCUAUCAUACAAAUAUUUCUUCAGCUCUAUUCCAUAAGGCAGUGGGCACCCAGAUGUUUCCAUAUGCAUGGUUGUGCCUUCUUUUGACCUAUUGCAGGAAAAUGAAUAAUUUUUCUUUUUUCCACCCAGCUGCUGAUAAAGAUGAUAGUUCAGAAGACAUUUCAGUGCCGAGUAGUCCACAUACAGAAGCUAUACAGCAUAGUUCGGUCAGCACAUCCAAUGGAGUCAGUUCAACCUCCAAGGCAGAAGCUGUAGCCACUUCAGUCCUCACCCAGAUGGCGGACCAGAGUACAGAGCCUGCUCUUUCACAGAUCGUUAUGGCUCCUUCCUCCCAGUCACAGCCCUCAGGAAGUUGAUUAAAAACCUGCAGUACAACAGUUUUAGAUACUCAUUAGUGACUUCAAAGGGAAAUCAAGGAAAGACCAGUUUCCAUUUAUGCGAAAUCUGUGGUUGUAAAUUUUUUUUUUUUACUUGAAAUUAAAUUUGGCUCUAAAGUUGGUGUAGCAGCAGUUGAUCAGACUGAAAAACGGUUUUUAGUCUCUGGAAAAAGACUGAUUUUGCUUUUUUUAUAAAUAUUAUUAGAUUUAUUAAUUUUUCUGUGCUCAAUGUGUAAAUUGUAUUAUAAUUCAUUGUGAUUUAUUUCACUUUUAAUUUGCUGGUGUUUUAAUAAAUGGGGGUGUUACUGAAUCUUUCUUCCCACUUCCAUUUCUUUUGACCACCCCUUAACCCUCAACUGUGACGGUAGUAGUAUUAUCAUUUAUACCAAAGUUUUGCAUAGUCCCUGUUGACUUUGUAAUGUUAACGGAGUCAUAAAAGCACUAGGCAAGAGAAAGAUAGAAAUUUGCUUUUAAUCUUUUUGCCUUUUAUUUUGCACAUUAUGCAAAAGGAAAAACAUUAAAGAACACUUUUUUUUAAGUGAGUGAAAACAUGGUAAAGACAUACAGUGCUUUUAUGCACAUUGUUAAGCUAAAUCAAGGUCAUUUAUAAUCAUUUUCCUUUUUUAUUUAAGAUUUUAAGUAAACAAAUUUUAGAAUUUUCAGCAUUUCAAAAAUGAUUUUAUUUUUCAAGUCUUAAAUUCAAUAUUUUACACCUAUGUUUUGAGGCUAAAAAUAUGAAAUUAUAUAAUGUAUGAUACAGGGUUAUCAAAUAUCUAAUAAUUUUUGAAAUUAGCUCUUGUUUUUGGUUUUUUUGUUGUUGUUUUUACAGAUUUCAGGUUACAAACUGCAAAGUUUAUGCAUAAUUAAGUAUGGUAUGGUUGCCAGAAAAGCCUAAAAUUACUACUUAGAAAAUUUAAGACUGUUUACCCCCAUUGUCUUGUACUUGCGAGCUAACUUGUACUAUUCUUGUGAAAGCACUGUCAUCUUUUAGUAGCAAAUUUUGAUAAUGUUUCUCGUGGAAAAAAAAAUCAGUAUCUAUCUUUAGAACAAUGUAAUUAUAAUGUGGGAAGUGUGCAUGAAUGAGAGAGAGUGUGUGUGUAUCUGUGUGUGUGUGCGCGUGUGUGUGUGUCUUUUAAUAGUUUAUGCCAGCAAUCUUUGCUUGAAUGUUUAACGAUGCCUUCAGUGUGAUGCUGGCCAAUAGAUGAUUGCAGUUUAAAAUGUCAUUAUUGUGCAGGCUUGGAUAACUAACAUUCCAUGAUGUAGCUUGUUUCUGAUGAGAUGAUUGUAGGUACAUUUUUCUCAUUAUCCAAUCAUCUGUGGGAUACUUAGUUUUCUAAUGUGCCAUUAUCUAUUUUUAUUCUGCAGUUAUGUUCAAAAUACAGUACAUAUUUUAAAAUAGAAUAAAUUGUUAAACAUAAAAUUUUAAAAGUAGUAGAUGUGCGUAAGAAAACUUUGUAAAAUAGUUAUGAGUCCUACCCAGUAGCAACUUCUGGCAUUCAAGCAGGAUUCCACUAUGUAAAUAUCUGUAAUGCAUUUAUAAUAAGUUGUGUAGUUUGUCCUGCAUCCAUACUACACUAUUUGCUAAAGUCUCAGUGCCAUCUCCUAAUGAGACUGACAUUUUAAAAGUCUGUAUGGAAUAUCCUUGAUAAUUCAAGGAAAUAUCCCUCCUGCCUAAGUUCCAAACUGGGAAACAUUCAAAUUAUAUAAAUGACAUUUCAGGACUUUAAGUAUGAAGAUAAUGGGAAUUUUAUUGUUUUGCUUUUUAAAAUGAGAGCAUUUUUAUUUGAUAAUUUUUUUUAAAUUUUUAAUUUUUAACUAAUUUCAUUAUUUUAAAGUAAUCAGUUUUUCAAAUCAUGAUUUUGAUAUCAUUAUUCUAAGGAGUUAUCUCAAAGGCACAAAAUAUGAAUUCUGCAAGAAGGCUAUUUUUUAUUGUAGUUUGAAUGGGUUAGGAAAAGCCUCAAUUUUUCACUCUUAAGUCCUUCAGUACAUUUUUCUUUCAUCUUAUUACUUAUGCAAGUUAAGGUUCUUUGGUAACAGAAUUCUUGCAACUGUAAAAUAAAACUACAUAGAUGUAAGAAGUCAUGUAAACGGUUAACAAGCUUACCAAGGUUAGCAAAACUUUCAUUGUAAAUCAGUCUGUACUGAGCAAAUAAAAAUCAUUAUUAGUUGUAUAAACACAAAUUCCAUUUUGACUUUCAGGAUGUCAUACUACUUCUGUACCUAGCAUUUUCAGUCCUUAUAUUUGCAAUGUUACACAAACUGUACUAUUUUCUUUUAUGUGCAGUUUGCAUGAGUAAACCAUCAGAGAAUAAAUUCUAUCUUUAAAUUA